UACGUAGGGUGCGAGCGUUAAUCGGAAUUACUGGGCGUAAAGCGUGCGCAGGCGGUUCGCCAAGUCAGGUGUGAAAUCCCUCAGCUUAACUGGGGAACUGCGUCUGAUACUGGAUGGCUUGAGUUUGGGAGAGGGAUGCGGAAUUCCAGGUGUAGCGGUGAAAUGCGUAGAUAUCUGGAGGAACACCGGUGGCGAAGGCGGCAUCCUGGACCAAC
rnacentral:rRNA from 1 species